rnacentral:rRNA from 1 species
UACGUAGGCAGCAAGCGUUGUUCGGAAUUACUGGGCGUAAAGAGUGUGUAGGCGGUGCUCUAAGUUCGGUGUGAAAUCUCCCGGCUUAACUGGGAGGGUGCGCCGGAAACUGGAGUGCUCGAGCGUGGGAGAGGAAAGCGGAAGUUCUGGUGUAGCGGUGAAAUGCGUAGAUAUCAGGAGGAACACCUGCGGUGUAGACGGCUUUCUGGACCAUUGCUGACGCUGAGACACGAAAGCGUGGGUAGCAAACAGG